UAGGGAAUCUUCGGCAAUGGGGGGAACCCUGACCGAGCAACGCCGCGUGAGUGAAGAAGGUUUUCGGAUCGUAAAGCUCUGUUGUUAAGGAAGAACGAGUGUGAGAAUGGAAAGUUCAUGCUGUGACGGUACUUAACCAGAAAGGGACGGCUAACUACGUGCCAGCAGCCGCGGUAAUACGUAGGUCCCGAGCGUUGUCCGGAUUUAUUGGGCGUAAAGCGAGCGCAGGCGGUUAGAAAAGUCUGAAGUGAAAGGCAGUGGCUCAACCAUUGUAGGCUUUGGAAACUGUUUAACUUGAGUGCAGAAGGGGAGAGUGGAAUUCCAAGUGUAGCGGUGAAAUGCGUAGAUAUAUGGAGGAACACCGGUGGCGAAAGCGGCUCUCUGGUCUGUAACUGACGCUGAGGCUCGAAAGCGUGGGGAGCGAACAGG
rnacentral:rRNA from 1 species